UAGAGCCGUCAAAAUGGGUCACAACCCGCGAGCCAACCCGGCCCGUCACGGGUUCGGGCCGGGUUGGGUUUGAAAAAUACAACCCACUUACAUGCGGGUCAGAUUUCAACCCGGCUCAUUUAGACCCGGCUCAUGCGGGUUGAACCCGUGGUGAGCCGGGUUGGCCCACCAACCCACCUACCUAAUUUUAUUUUUUCAAUUUAUUAUUUUAUUUAUGAAACCCUAAAAAAUAAAAUACUUUCUUCACUCACUGUGUAUACCAAAAAAGUAACCUCUGAUCUCACAAAUCACUCUCACAGUAAUUGCUCUCAUUUGACGAUGCUCACUUCACUGAAAUUCUUCAAGGAGCAGGUAAAACACCCUUUCUUUUUUCUUCUCUUUUCUCCACAUUUUUGUUUUCUCACUUCUCUUUCUU
rnacentral:lncRNA from 1 species